GUGCUCACUCUGGCAGAACACAUACUAAUCAGAACAAUAAUGAUUAAUUAUUAGCAUGGCCCUUGCACAAGGAUGAUAUGCAAAUGUGUGAUGUGUUGCAUAGUUUU
ensembl:snRNA U6 U6 spliceosomal RNA